GGGACCAUAGCUCAGCUGGGAGAGCACCUGCCUUACAAGCAGGGGGUCACAGGUUCGGGCCCUGUUGGUCCCACCA
rnacentral:tRNA from 1 species